GAAAAGGGCUACCUAUUGUCAAAGGUCAGCGGGCUUGUGAUGAUGAACCCGAGCAUAGGUCCGUAGGGGAGUCUUGAUGCCCAACACCUUAUGCCAUCUGGUGUGGGAGUUAUUGACUGAAUGCUCGCUACACGGAGGAAUCAUUACAAGAGUAAAAGUGCACAAUUUAUAAAUCUCAAAAAAAAAGAGAAAGAGAAAAUAAAAUUGACCUCGAAAAACACGAUAGUGUGAAAGCCGUCGUUGUAAAAAUUCGAGUAAACUGGAAUAUUACAGAUAAAGCCCAUGAGGUAUUAAAGUAAACAUCCACAACUCUCGAAAUCCUGCAAGAUAGGAUGAUUUUGAAUUAGUGAUUAGGUCUUAUCUGACCAAUUCUUGGAAACUACUAGCUUUAGCAGUAUUUUGGGGAUCUAAAGCCUUAGCUUGUGUAUGGUCCAGAUUUCACCGAGCACCCAAGUAUAAAUUAGUCUUACAACUCUCUAACAGAAACUUAAUAACUUCAACUUAAGUUGCAUACUGACCUAGGAUUUGGGCUGACUUAGUAAUUAAAACUUUGUGUGCUUUUGAAAUUCUUAGCACUUAUGCAUUUGAAAUUAGAUUUUAUAAAACAGUAAAAUAAAUUCUUUAGGUAGAGACAGCAGUUUGUGGGUAUCUGAGCCGGAAAUCCUCACGAGACAAAACUCGUCCACUAGGGCCACCUAGGGGUUUAAAGCCUUAUUGCAUACGGUAAAUGCAAUCGCGAUUCCUGCGAAAGUGAGUUAGUUUUUUAUUUUGCUCGAGGACUAGCAAAAUGUAGGUCUGGGGGUGUGAUAAGUGUUAAAUAAUGCAUAAAUUAAUAUCUUACUCAUAACACUUAUCAUUAUUUUUAUGCACAUAUUUUAAAUUUAAACAUGAGAAAAUAUGUUUUCCUUCAGCAUUUCAUUUUAAAUAAAUUAUUCAAGUUUGAUUGAUUUUCUUUAUUUUAUUGGUCGAGUCUAAUGUAUGCAGGUCGAGUCAAAUUCAUUUGGGAUGAUCCCUGAACCCGAAUGAUACGCACCCCGGUCCAGCCCCACUCCCCUAUUUCUUUCGCAUCCAAUCAAGUUCAAACUUUCGUUACGUUGUACUAUCUAGUCAUUAUCACAUCCGCGAUUAGUUAUUCAAAAUCUUCCUAAAAUUCUACGUGCAAACCGCUUCCACCCGUGACAAUUCCUUCCAGGCAUCACGCACUCCGGAUUGAUCCCAGCUUCUUCCUCUUGCUUCCGGCUCAAACCUCCCGUGUGCGUUUCAUUUGGAUCCAGCAAAUCAUUUUCUCUUCCGUCCGCAUGAACCCAGCAACCGUUAGAUCCCAAGCAGAUCCUCUUCUUCCUCCCGUUCGGAACCAAGACCCAGCCGAAUCCAAACGUCCUCCCAAACCAACCAAUCUUUAUCCAAACUUCCCCAGCUUCACGGAUUAGAACCGGAUCCCAGCUUCUUCCCCAGCCGUAUCCUUCGUCCGUGAUCCACCUUCAUCCCAAUCCGGAUUUCUUCUCAGCCACAUCAAGCUAACAACAGCAUCCUCUUCCCCUGUUUCGAAAUAGCAACCUUCUUCCGGAUUAAUCUCCACGUCACCUCCUCCCAGAUUUCAUCUGCAAUCAUCCCAUGAUUUGGCUUCAUCCCAUUCGAAUCAAACACUCCAUCCAAGCUUCACGGAACAGAGCAUCCUCUCCCGGAUAAGCUCAAGUCCCAGCUGCCAGCCGCCCGCGUCUUGCAUCACUCCCCUGUUCCGAGAUCUUCUCACACACCCACAGCCGAAUGAUCCCAACUAGAUUCCGCUAGCUCCCAGCCUUCCUAUCAUCAUCCAAGCCCCAUCCUCUUCUCCGAAUAACAUCCAAGAUACGUCCCAGUUCCCCUGUUCUGAAUUCAUCUUUAUCCCACGGAUCAACCAUCAACCGAAUCAUCCCAGCAUCCAAACCAACCGAGAUCCUUCUUUCUCCCAUGGGAUAAGCACCAAAUCCAGCAGGACUUCAUCUUUUGGAUCAGCUUCCUCGGCUUCAUCCUCCCGAGCUUCACGACAUCCAAGUUUUUCUUUCCAACUUAUGGAUCAACUCCAUUCUUCCGAAUCCCUGCAUCACAGAAUAGAGUAUCCCAACCUCCUUCCGGAUUCGCCAUCUCAGCGGUUCUCCGUGAUUCAUCCAUAUCCCGCGCCCGAGUUGAAGCUCCCUCCUCUGCGUGUCCGGAUGAAAGCCAGCACAGAUCACGCACACCAAGCUUCUAUCCGUUCAGCCUCCGGUAUCCACGGAUAAGCUUAAAUCCCUUGCUUCGCGUCUGGAAUCCAGCAGCAUCACGAGCGUAUCCUCACAUCUCGUUCACUUCCCACAGAUAAGUCCAAGCUUAUUGAGGUGGGCAGCCUAUAAAAGGCCAAGCCAGGAAACAGAGAAGGCAUUCCUCCUUCCCCACCGGGGGGCAUUCCCUCUUCCCCCACCGGGGGCUGCUCCCAUCAUCACUUCUCAGANNNNNNNNNNNNNNNNNNNNNNNNNNNNNNNNNNNNNNNNNNNNNNNNNNNNNNNNNNNNNNNNNNNNNNNNNNNNNNNNNNNNNNNNNNNNNNNNNNNNNNNNNNNNNNNNNNNNNNNNNNNNNNNNNNNNNNNNNNNNNNNNNNNGCUGCUGCCGCCGUCCACCACUGCAUGGAAGCUUGAGCUCUUCUCCAGGGCUGGAUGCAGCCCUAACAAAGGGACACGGGUUUUAUAUUUUAUUUUAUAUUCUUGGGGUUGUAUGAACUUAUUGUUUUUAAUGGAUAUCUUCUUUUGAAUCAUAUUUAAUUUCUGUGAUUUUAAGUAUGAUGUUCGUACAAGUGUUCUUCAUGAUCACUAAGUAAAUAUAAGAUAGUCCAUGCUUAGGGAAGAUGCGAUGUGCUGCCACCUUAGAUUAGGAUAGACGUUUCAUGCCUACUGAAGAUGGAUUAUGCCCAAAUUACUUUUGUGAAUUUUUAUUUAAAUGCUUAUUAGGCUUGUAGCCAAUUUGCAUGUUAAUCCAAGAACGAAAUAAAAUAUAAAUAACCCUUGUUCCGAUGUUAGUGGUGAAUUCCUUGCCCUAGGUUCUCUUAAACUGAUAUCCCUUUAAUUGCAUUUUCUUUUAUUAAAUUUCUUAGUUUAAUAGUCUUCACAAAUUCAUCAUUUUAAAUAUUUUUAUUAUUAAAGAAAAACAACUGUACCCCAAUCCCUGUGGAUCGAUACCCGUAAUCACUAUCCUACCAGAUACGUGCUAUUGCGUGGUCUUUAAAGUUGACUAUCAAUUUUUAGCGCCGUCGCUGGGGAUUGUUAGCAUAGUUGUUUUUCUUUUCAUUAAAAAAAAACUUUAAAAAAACUUUCAAAAAAUAUAUAUAUCUAAAAUAAAAUAAAAAUAUUUUCUAUUUUUGUUACUUUUCUUAUCUUCUUUCUCUCUCUUACUAAUUUUUGAUUUUUAUUUGAUCAGGAAUCGAAGAGGAAGUCUAGGAUGAUCAAAAAGGGAACGGCUGAAAAAGAAAUGCUGUAGAGGUUUGCUUUUAAAAAAAAAAUUGCUAGGGAAAUUCUCUUUGGUAACAUCUAAAUCUUUCUUAUUUAAAUUGAUUCCCAAUUAGCCUGAAAUUUUGUGGUGAUUGUUUGAUUUUAAUUUUAGUAAAAGUGUGAAUGCAUGCUUGAUACACAUACAUCAAUUAAUCCGCACAUAGUAAGGGCAAUCACCGCAACAAGAUAAGAACUAGAUUUCAUCACCAGAUUCUUGCCCAAAUUAGGUAAAUCAAUUCUCACAUAGCUAUCACGUUAAUUAAAAUCAAUUAGACGUUGGCCUCUAGGGACAUUCGAGCUCAAUAGGACGAAGAUCACUGAAAGUUGCACCAAUUUCGCUCUGUGGCUCAGUUGAUGUCUAGGCAAGCUUUGUCCCAAGGGAGACAGUUCAUCUGUUCGAGGCAAGUGGUUUUUAAGUGGGACCUUUGCAACGCAUCGUGACCCCCCCACUUACCUGGGAGCUUACCUGGUCAACUUCGUUCAUUAGACCGGAUUGGAGGCUUAGGUGCCCUCUUCAAACCAGUUAGGAGCUGUCUAGUGAUUUUAGGGCAAAUACAAGGAUUUGACGUAUUUUUCUUUUAGUGCAUGCUUGACUUGACUGAUCAGAAGAGUAUAACUCCUUGCUCGACAAUCAGUCUUCCACAAAUUUUCUUCCUUGGAGAACUCGGCAUGAAUCCGGUAUAAUUUGAUAAGGAUGCGCUCCGUCUGGCUGAAGACGUUAAACUUAGCACUUGUUGGGAGGCAACCCAAUUCUCAUAGAUUAUUUUUGCAUAUUUUCUUGUCGCAUUUUUUUUUUCUAGGAGUCCUCAUAUUACUGAUGCAACUAAGGUACAAUGCUUCUAUCCUCCAUAUGCAUCAUAUUUUCAUCCCAAAUAAAAAAUAUAUAAAAAAUAAAAAUCAUAAUAUAAUAUCUCAAAAAAUAAAAAAAAUUAAAAAAAAAUAUUGAGGUCAAUGUCUGAUCUAGGUUGGGGAGUAUAGGAUUCGAAUUUUUGAAGAAAUUUUUCGCAUUUUCGUAUUUUUGAAUAAAUUUUUCGAAAAAAAAACCUAAUUUCUAUGCCUUAGUGCUGAAAUGAUAAAUACACAAAGUAUAUAAAAUCUAAAAAUCCCAAUGAUUUGUCAGGAAUAAGACAAUUUGAGUUCUUUUCAUUAAAAGUUCUUUAGUGAGUGGUAAGAUAAUUUGUACUUUGGAAUUUCACAAUACACAUGGCCUGCACUUCUAAGGGUUAGGUUCAACAUUAUGUUGUUAAGUCUGGUAGCAACCUUGAGUCCUGAUGAAUCAUUCCUAUCUAAUUCACUAUUAUUCCAUAUUUAUUAAAAAAAAUAGUCAGGUACAUCGAAAAGGGCUACCUAUUGUCAAAGGUUAGCGGGCUUGUAUGAGGAACCCGAGCAUAGGUUCGUAGGGGAGUCUUGAUGCCCAACACCUUAUGCCAUCUGAUGUGGAAGUGUUGACUGAAUACUCGCUAUACGGAGGAAUCAUUGCAAGAGUAAAAGUACGUAAUUUAUUUAUAAAUAAAAAAAAAAGAAAAAAAAAAGAGAAAAUAAUAUUGACCUUGAAAAAAGAUAGUGUGAAAGCCGUCGCUAUAAAAAUUCGAGUAAACUGUAAUAUUACAGAUAAAGCCCAUGAGGUAUUAAAGUAAACAUCCACAACUCUCGAAAUCCUGCAAGAUAGGAUGAUUUUGAAUCAGUGAUUAGGUCUUAUCUGACCAAUUCUUGGAAACUACCAGCUUUAGCAGUAUUUUGGGGAAUCUAAAACCUUAGCUUGUGUUUGGUCCAAAUAUCACCAAGCACCCAAGUAUAAAUAAGCCUUACAACUCUCUAACAGAAACUUAAUGACUUCAACUUAAGUUGCAUACUGACUUAGGAUUUGGGCUGACUUAGUAAUUAAAACUUUGUGUGCUUUUGAAAUUAUUGGCACUUAUGCAUUUGAAAUUAGAUUUUAUAAAACGAUAAAAUAAAUUCUUUGGGUAGAGACAACAGUUUGUGGGUAUCUGAGCCGGAAACCCUCACGAGACAAAACUCGUCCACUAGGGCCACCUAGGGGUUUAAAGCCUUAUUGCAUACGGUAAAUGCAAUCGCGAUUCCUGCGAAAGUGAGUUUGUUUUUAUUUCGCUCGAUGACUAGCAAAAUGUAGGUUGGGGGUGUGAUAAGUGCUAAAUAAUGCAUAAAUUAAUAUCUUAUUUAUAGCACUUAUCAUUAUUUUAAUUCACAUAUCUUGUAAAUUUAACUAAAAAAAUGUAUUACCUUCAUCAUUGCAUUUUAAAGGUAAUUCAAGUUUGAUUUGAUUAUUUAUUGAUUAAGCUUAAUGCAUGCAGGUCGAGUCGAGCUCAAUUAGGUAAAGCCUAAACGGACACUACAUCAUUUCACAAUUUCACAUUCUCCUGAGUCGACUCCAAGAACUCUUUUCCAAAAUCCAGUGCUUUCCAAGUUCACCUAAAUUUCGUCCCACUCAUUCGAAUUCUCCUGUUUUAAUAUUAAAAAUAAUACAAUCCCUUCAAUCAAUUAUUUCUCAGAUCUCAAAGCAUACUAUCUUAGUUGCACAGAUUGCAAAGCCUCACCCCUUCAAUCCAUUUCAACUUCCAACGAAUAAUCCCAGAUCUCCUCCCAGCCAUUCCGCUUCCCUCCACGUCAUUUCUUUAGGAACAGAGCCAUAUGUACAGGAUAAGCUCUCAUAUCCAAACUUCCCCUUCUUCCGGAUCGUUCUCACAUUCAUUCCAUUCGAAACUCAAAGCUUCUCCCGGAUCACUCCCUCUCAACCGAAUCUAGCUUUCCAUCACCCACGGAUAAGCCCAAGCCAGCCUUCAUCUCAUCCGCGAUUAACUCCCAGCUUCAUCCCAUUCAAAUUCCUUCUCCUAAGCUUCUCCAGCUAGAUUCCCUCCACAGAUGAACAUCUCCCAACGUCCAGCUUCAUCUUCCCGAGAUCCCAACUCCAAGCGCCCACAUCUUCGGCAGUCCAAAGAACAAAUCCAAACCUCCACGAACAGAGUACGUCCGCAGCUUCAUCCUCCCGAUUCCUCCGGCACCUCAUUUAAGCCGUGAACAGCACCCCAGCAUCUUCCGGAUGAGCAUUCCAUCUUCUUCUGACUUCUUCUCAUCCACAAAUCCGAACCAAAUGCAUAACAGAGCGCCCUUAUCCCGAGGAACAGACCCGUAUGUGAUCUUCUCCCCUGUUUCACGCAUGGCCAGCCGUUCCCAAGCUUCACAGAAGCUUCAUCUAAACUGUCAACCGAAUCCAAGUUUUUCCCCUGUUUCGGAAUCAAGUCCCAAUAUCCCACGGAACAGCUCCUCCCGCGAUGCUUGCCAUACAAACUUCUAUCUUUAUCCAACACCCAAGCUGCCGAAUCCCAUGGAACAUCUCCCCUGUUCCCAACCGAAUCGAGUUCAUCCUCCCGUGAUCCACUCAUCUCCCAGCUGCAUCCAUUUGAUUCCAGCUCCAUCCUUGCGAGUUUCACGGCAUCCAAACAUCCCCUGUUUCUCCACGACCAGGCUUCUUCCACGUCCACCAGCGAGGGAUUCUUCCCAGCCAAAGGAAAUCAAACAUCGAACCGAGCCAUAUCUAAGCACCUUCAUUCCGUUUUACUCCCAGCGUCUGCAUAUCCAUGGGAUAAACUCAAAUCCCAGCUUCUCUUCCGGUUUGAUCCCAUGAAAUCGCUAACGUCUCAGCUCAUCUUCCGACGCGUCCGGCUUCACGCGUCUUCUCCUUUGAUCCGAACCACAGCAGUCCACGAAUCAGGCCAAGCUUCAUCCCAACGGCAAAGGGUUCAUCCUUAUCUACAUUCGAAACAGAAGAGGGGAGUCGCAGCCUAUAAAAGGCCCCAGGGUGAACAGAGGAGGAUUCAUUGACGACCGGGAGAAGAAGAUCUCGGGAGAGAGGGAGUUCCCACCGAAGUAAAAAGGAAAGAGAGGCUUUUGGGUAUUGUGGGAAGAACUUCCCACGGAAAAAGAAAAAAAAAUGAAAUGCUAAGGGAGUCCCACGGGAGAGGAAAAAGCCGGAAGGAAGAAAUGAGAGCCCGCUGCUGUGCCACUGCUGCUGUCGCCCACGACUUCAUUGGAAGGCUGAUCUCCUCUCUAGGGUUGGAUGCAGCCCUAACAAAGGAACACGGGUUUUAUAUUUUAUUUUAUAUUCUUGGGGUUGUAUGAACUUAUUAUUAUUUUUAAUGGAUAUCUUCUUCUGAAUCAUAUUUAAUUUUUGUGAUUUUAAGUAUGGUGUUCGUACAACUAUUCUUCAUGAUCAUUAAAGUAAAAAUAAGAUAGUUCAUGCUUAAGGAAGAUGCGAUGUGCUACCACCUUAGAUUAGGAUAGACAUUUCAUGCUAACUAAAGAUGGACUAUGCCUAAAUUGCUUUUGUGAAAUUUUUAUUCGAAUGCUUAUUAGGCUUGUAGCCAAUUUGCAUGUUAAUUCAAGAACGAAAUAAAUUAUAAAUAACCCUUGUUCCGAUGUUAGUGGUGAAUUCCUUGCCCUAGGUUCCCUCAAACUGAUAUCAUUUUAAUUGCAUUUUUUUAUUAAAUUUCUUAGUUUAAUUUUCUUCACAAACUCUUCUUUUUAAUUUUCUUUUAAGAAAAAUAACUAUACCCCAAUCCCUAUGGAUCGAUACCCGUAAUCACUAUCUUACUAGAUAUGUGCUAUUGCGUGGUCUUUAAAGUUGACUAUCAAUUUUUGGCGCCGUUGCCGGGGAUUGUUAGCAUAGUUAUUUUUCUUUUUAUUAAAAAAAACUUUCAAAAAAAAACUUUCAAAAAAUAUAUAUAUCUAAAAUAAAAUAAAAAUAUUUUCUAUUUUUGUUACUUUUCUUAUCUCCUUUCUCUCUCUUACUAAUUUUUGAUUUUUAUUUGAUCAGGAAUCGAUGAGGAAGUCCGGGAUGAUUAAAAAGGGAACUGCUGAAAAAAGAAUGCUGUAGAGGUUUGCUUUUAAAAAAAAUUGCUGGGAAAAUUCUCUUUGGUAACAUCUAAACCUUUCUUAUUUAAAUUGAUUCCCAAUUAGCCUGAAAUUUUGUGGUGAUUGUUUGAUUUUAAUUUUAGUAAAAGUGUGAAUGCAUGCUUGAUACACAUACAUCAAUUAAUCCGCACAUAGUAAGGGCAAUCACCCCAACAAGAUAAGAACUGGAUUUCAUCACCAGAUUCUUACCCAAAUUAGGUGAAUCAAUUCUCACAUAGCUAUCACGUUAAUUAAAAUCAAUUAGACGUUGGCCCCUAGAGACAUUCGAGCUCAAUAGGACGAAGAUCACUGAAAGUUGCACCAAUUUCGCUCUGUGGCUCAGUUGAUGUCUAGGCAAGCUUUGUCCCAAGGGAGACAGUUCAUCUGUUCGAGGCAAGUGGUUUUUAAGUGGGACCUUUGCAACGCAUCGUGACCCCCCCACUUACCUGGGAGCUUACCUGGUCAACUUCGUUCAUUAGACCGGAUUGGAGGCUUAGGUGUCCUCUUCAAACCAGUUAGGAGCUGUCUAGUGAUUUUAGGGCAAAUACAAGGAUUUGACGUAUUUUUCUUUUAGUGCAUGCUUGACUUGACUGAUCAGAAGAGUAUAACUCCUUGCUCGACAAUCAGUCUUCCACAAAUUUUCUUUCUUGGAGAACUCGGCAUGAAUCCGGUAUAAUUCGAUAAGGAUGCGCUCCGUCUGGCUGAAGACGUUAAACUUAGUACUUGUUGGGAGGCAACCCAAUUCUCAUAGAUUAUUUUUGCAUAUUUUCUUGUCGCAUUUUUUUUUCAGGAGUCCUCAUAUUACUGAUGCAACUAAGGUACAAUGCUUCUAUCCUCCAUAUGCAUCAUAUUUUCAUCCCAAAUAAAAAAAUAUAUAAAAAAUAAAAAUCAUAAUAUAAUAUCUCAAAAAAAUAAAAAAAUAAAAAAAUAAAAAAAACAUUGAGGACAAUGUCUGAUCUAGGUUGGGGGGUAUAGGAUUCGAAUUUUUGAAGAAAUUUUUCGCAUUUUCAUAUUUUUGAAUAAAUUUUUAGAAAAAAAACCUAAUUUCUAUGCCUUAGUGCUGAAAUGAUAAAUACACAAAGUAUAUAAAAUCUAAAAAGCCCAAUGAUUUGUCAGGAAUAAGACAAUUUGAGUUCUUUUCAUUAAAAGUUCUUUUAGUGAGUGGUAAGAUAAUUUGUACUUUGGAAUUUCACAAUACACAUGGCCUGCACUUCUAAGGGUUAGGUUCAACAUUAUGUUGUUAAGUCUGGUAGCAACCUUGAGUCCUGAUGAAUCAUUCCUAUCUAAUUCACUAUUAUUCCAUAUUUAUUAAAAAAAAUAGUCAGGUACAUCGAAAAGGGCUACCUAUUGUCAAAGGUCAGCGGGCUUGUAUGAGGAACCUGAGCAUAGGUCCAUAGGGGAGUCUUGAUGCCCAACACCUUAUGCCAUCUGGUGUGGGAGUGUUGACUGAAUGCUCGCUAUACGGAGGAAUCAUUACAAGAGUAAAAGUACGUAAUUUAUUUAUAAUUUAAAAAAAAAUAAUAAUAUUGACCUUGAAAAAAGACGAUAGUGUGAAAGCCGUCGCUGUAAAAAUUUGAGUAAACUGGAAUAUUACAGAUAAAGCCCAUGAGGUAUUAAAGUAAGCAUCCACAACUCACGAAAUCCUGCAAGAUAGGAUAAUUUUGAAUCAGUGAUUAG
rnacentral:lncRNA from 1 species